rnacentral:rRNA from 1 species
UACGUAGGGAGCAAGCGUUGUCCGGAUUUAUUGGGCGUAAAGAGCUCGUAGGCGGUUCCGUAAGUCGGGUGUGAAAAAUCUGGGCUCAACCCAGUGGAGCACCCGAUACUGCGGUGACUGGAGUCCGGUAGGGGAGUGUGGAAUUCCUGGUGUAGCGGUGAAAUGCGCAGAUAUCAGGAGGAACACCAAUUGCGAAGGCAGCUCGCUGGGACGUUACUGACGCUGAGACGCGAAAGCGUGGGGAGCAAACAGG